rnacentral:rRNA from 1 species
GGUAACAGGUCUUCGGAUGCUGACGAGUGGCGAACGGGUGAGUAAUACAUCGGAACGUGCCUAGUAGUGGGGGAUAACUACUCGAAAGAGUGGCUAAUACCGCAUGAGAUCUACGGAUGAAAGCAGGGGAUCGCAAGACCUUGUGCUACUAGAGCGGCCGAUGGCAGAUUAGGUAGUUGGUGGGAUAAAAGCUUACCGAGCCGACGAUCUGUAGCUGGUCUGAGAGGACGAUCAGCCACACUGGGACUGAGACACGGCCCAGACUCCUACGGGAGGCAGCAGUGGGGAAUUUUGGACAAUGGGCGCAAGCCUGAUCCAGCAAUGCCGCGUGCAGGAUGAAGGCCUUCGGGUUGUAAACUGCUUUUGUACGGAACGAAAAGCCCUGGGUUAAUACCCUGGGGUCAUGACGGUACCGUAAGAAUAAGCACCGGCUAACUACGUGCCAGCAGCCGCGGUAAUACGUAGGGUGCGAGCGUUAAUCGGAAUUACUGGGCGUAAAGCGUGCGCAGGCGGUUUUGUAAGACAGAGGUGAAAUCCCCGGGCUCAACCUGGGAACUGCCUUUGUGACUGCAAGGCUAGAGUACGGCAGAGGGGGAUGGAAUUCCGCGUGUAGCAGUGAAAUGCGUAGAUAUGCGGAGGAACACCGAUGGCGAAGGCAAUCCCCUGGGCCUGUACUGACGCUCAUGCACGAAAGCGUGGGGGAGCAAACAGGAUUA